GCGAACGGGUGAGUAACACGUGGGCAACCUGCCCAAAAGAGGGGGAUAACACUUGGAAACAGGUGCUAAUACCGCAUAACCAUAGUUACCGCAUGGUAGCUAUGUAAAAGGUGGCUAUGCUACCGCUUUUGGAUGGGCCCGCGGCGCAUUAGCUAGUUGGUGGGGUAAAGGCUUACCAAGGCAAUGAUGCGUAGCCGAACUGAGAGGUUGAUCGGCCACAUUGGGACUGAGACACGGCCCAAACUCCUACGGGAGGCAGCAGUAGGGAAUCUUCCACAAUGGGCGAAAGCCUGAUGGAGCAACGCCGCGUGGGUGAAGAAGGUCUUCGGAUCGUAAAACCCUGUUGUUAGAGAAGAAAGUGCGUGAGAGUAACUGUUCACGUUUCGACGGUAUCUAACCAGAAAGCCACGGCUAACUACGUGCCAGCAGCCGCGGUAAUACGUAGGUGGCAAGCGUUAUCCGGAUUUAUUGGGCGUAAAGGGAACGCAGGCGGUCUUUUAAGUCUGAUGUGAAAGCCUUCGGCUUAACCGGAGUAGUGCAUUGGAAACUGGGAGACUUGAGUGCAGAAGAGGAGAGUGGAACUCCAUGUGUAGCGGUGAAAUGCGUAGAUAUAUGGAAGAACACCAGUGGCGAAAGCGGCUCUCUGGUCUGUAACUGA
rnacentral:rRNA from 1 species